AACGAACGCUGGCGGCAUGCCUAACACAUGCAAGUCGAACGAUACCUUCGGGUCGAGUGGCGCACGGGUGCGUAACGCGUGGGAACCUGCCCUUAGGUUCGGAAUAACUCCCCGAAAGGGGUGCUAAUACCGGAUAAUGUCUUCGGACCAAAGAUUUAUCGCCUUUGGAUGGGCCCGCGUUGGAUUAGCUAGUUGGUAGGGUAAAAGCCUACCAAGGCGACGAUCCAUAGCUGGUCUGAGAGGAUGAGCAGCCACACUGGGACUGAGACACGGCCCAGACUACUACGGGAGGCAGCAGUGGGGAAUAUUGGACAGUGGGCGAAAGCCUGAUGCAGCAAUGCCGCGUGAGUGAUGAAGGCCUUAGGGUUGUAAAGCUCUUUUACCCGGGAUGAUAAUGACAGUACCGGGAGAAUAAGCUCCGGCUAACUCCGUG
rnacentral:rRNA from 1 species